UACGGGGGGUGCAAGCGUUAAUCGGAAUUACUGGGCGUAAAGGGUGCGUAGGUGGUUUAGUAAGUUAGCUGUGAAAUUCCUGGGCUCAACCUAGGGUGGUCAGCUAAGACUGCUAGACUCGAGUAUGGGAGAGGGUAGUGGAAUUUCCGGUGUAGCGGUGAAAUUCGUAGAUAUUCGGAAGAACACCAGUGGCGAAGGCGGCUCACUGGACUGGUAUUGACGCUGAGGUGCGAAAGCGUGGGGGAGCAAACAGGG
rnacentral:rRNA from 1 species